rnacentral:rRNA from 1 species
UUAGUUGGUGGGGUUGGNCUUGUCAAGGUUGCCACCUUCCGGUAACGAACGAGACCUCAGCCUGCUAAAUAGUUGCCUACCNCGUUUGGGCGNGCGGGCCGUCAAACUUCUUAGAUGGGACUAUUAGCGAUUUUCAGCUAAUUGAAGUAUGAGGCAAUAACAGGUCUGUGAUGCCCUUAGAUGUUCUGGGCCGCACGCGCGCUACACUGACGCAAUCAACGAGCCUCCUGGUCGCGAGAGGACCGGGUAAUCUUGUAAACUGCGUCGUGAUGGGGCUAGAGCUUUGUAAUUAUUGCUCUUUAACGAGGAAUGCCUAGUAAGCGCGAGUCAUCAGCUCGCGUUGAUUACGUCCCGUGCCCUUUGUACACACCGCCCGGGUCGCUCCUUCCNGNAUUGGGCUGUGCUGCGUGAAGAGUUCNGGACUGGACCAUGGCUAGCAAUAGCCCCGGUUCGGGAAGUCCUUUGAACCCUCCUCGCCCUAGAGGAAGGAGAAGUCGUAACAAGGUUUCCGUAGGUGAACCUGCGGC